rnacentral:lncRNA from 1 species
UCAUUUUGUUCAGUGACUUGGACUCAGAUAGACCAUCGCACACCAGCCUUUUGCAUCCAUCAAUUUUCAAUUUGCAGAGAGCUGGAACACUUGGUAAUGAUAUCACCAACUGCCUGCAUUCAGUAAUCACAAUUUUCUCCAAAGAAGGAAGAUGAUUAGGUAGUCGUCCAGAGAGUUUGGGGCAUUUAUGUAUGAAAAGCUUUUGGAGACGAGGGAAUGCCUGAACAUGCUCAUCAUUUUCAGUGUUAGGUUCCCAUUUCUCCCAAACUUGCAAAUCCUCAAAAUAUAAAGUCUGCAAUGAUGGAAAAGGUUUUGAGCAACAUUCCCCAUAAAUCUCCGAACCAAUGCCUUUUAAUGUCGACAUGCGUACGAUGGUGAGAUCUUUUAGCGAGCACAAUUGUCCUAGCGAGGGCAAGGAUGUGCUUCUUCGGCAAUUUUUCAAUAUUAGGACCGCAACAUUGGAAAACGAUGGAUCUCCUAUCCAAGACGGAAACCUUGUACCACCGUAAGAAUUGAUUACAAGCCUUUUAAUAUUACCGUGAGGCUUCAGCAUGUCAAGAAUAUUCUUUUCUCUAACCUCAUCUACUGAGUCGCCAUCACGUCGUGCCCUCCAUUCUAACUUCAAGACUUCUAGGUCUUUCUUCACUCUUAACAUAGCCUCAUUUGCUUCUUGUGAAUCGAUGACAUUCUCCAGUCCUGAAAUGCAAAGUCUUCCUCGAAGAAACUUCCAAUUCUUCAAAUCUUUCAAAGCACAUCCGCUAUCUUUGCCAACAAUAAAAUUAGUCAAAGUCCGAAGACAUUUUAAUUCUUUCAUUCCUAAUGGUAACUCACAUAACCGAUUUGCACCAUCAAUAUCAAGAUGAUAUAAAUUAACCAAAUUUCCGAUACUUGAUGGCAACUUCAAGAGAAGCCGGCAAUCGCUCAAGAUCAAAAUUUCUAAAUUGAAAAGUGAGGUAAUUGCCUCGGGCAAACAUUUGAUCCAACUCUCAGAAAAGUUGAGAUACCGUAGAUGUUUUAAACAUCCUAUUGAUGUGGGAACCUCGGAUAUACGGUAUCUUCCCAAAGAUAACACCCUCAACCUUUUACACUUCGGUAGCAAAUCAGAUAUAACCAUGGGACUAAUGUAGCCAGCAGGAGAAAAAAAGCAUUCUUCUACAAAUAUUGGCAAGAAUGUCCUCAAAUUCUCAACUUUGUCGAGAACUUUAAAUUUAUUCAUCCCAUCACAUCGAACGCCCAUCCCAUCACAAUCACCACUGCGGACGUACGAAGAAUGACGAACCUUUUCAAAUACAUUUGACUGUCUAUCCACCGAAAAUUGAUCGUCCAAUCUAAAGCAUGUUUCACCAGAAGCCCAUUGAGCCAAAUCAUGUACAAGGUCAUGCAUCACAAAUUUAGAUCCGCUGUUACUUGAUUUUUGGAACAAGGAUCUUGACAAGAGAUCAUGAAAAUACUCACUGCCCAAAUCAUCUGCUUGUUUACGGUCCUUAGAUUGUUGAAUAAGACCUUCUGCAAUCCAUAAAAGAACGAGUUCCUCCUCUUGGAAUUCAUAAUCCUUCGGCAAAAUUGCACAAUAGGCAAAACAUCUUUUUAAAUGCGAAGGAAGAUGGUGAUAGCUUAACUUCAAAACAGAAGGAACCUCAGUUUCAUCCUCUAAGUCCCAUAUUUUGCUGUCUAAUAUAGCUCUCCACUCAUCAACUCUCUGCUUAGAUCCAAGAAGACCACCAAGAGCCCUUGCUGCCAGAGGUAGACCUUUGCAUUUCUCAACAACCCUUUGACGAGUUGACUCGAAAUUUCCAUGUGUGCCAGCAUCUCUGCUGUCAAAUGCAUGAGCUACGAACACCGACCAGCAAUCAUUAUCAGAGAGAAGCUUCAGCCCAUAAUAUUUAACAGGUCCCAUUUUUGAGGCGACAUCCCGGCUUCGAGUAGUCACAAUUAUCCUGCUGCCGGGUGCUCCAGCCAUGAAGGGAGAUUUUAGAGCAUGCCACAAUUCAUACUUCUUGUCCCAAACAUCAUCCAAGACAAUCAAAAACUUCUUCUUAAGCAGAGCUUCCUUCAGCUUAAGCUGCACCGAAUUCAAAUCCUUCAGAUCACAAGAGGAGAGCGUGAUCGACUCCAGAAUAGCCUUGGAGAUCCUGAGAACAUCGAAGUCAUCAGAAACACAAACCCAAGCUUUGGGUUUGAAAUCUUCCACUCUCUUGUCAUUGUACACCUCCUGAGCAAGUGUUGUUUUCCCGAUACCUCCCAUACCCACAAGGGCUAUUACUCGAAAGUUGGCAGCAUCACAAGGAUCAUUCUUUAACACCAUAUCAAGUACCCUGGCUUUCUCUGUAUCUCUCCCAUAAACAGCAGGUUCGCUUGUUAAGCAGGUGGUGGGUGGUCUUUGCCUUACUGCAGCAGUAUGCGCUGACCCUCCAGCAAUCUUUUCCAAUCCAAGAUCAGUUCUCCUUUCACAGAGUUCUUCAAGCCUGCUACUGAUUUCUUCCAUCUUAGACCUCGUGCUAAUACCGGCCAUAAUACUACUUGCACCAGAGGAAAAGCCUUGGAUGAGGCUACGAAACGUGCUAGAGCUGGCUUCAUGUUUCUUCAACAAUCUCAGCCCGGCUUCAGCAGCAAACUCAUCGAGUAUGUCCUCUGCAUCGUAAGCCAAGUCUCGGAGAUCAUCCAGCCACAGCUUCACAGCCCUGUCACUCAGCUGCUUCUCCUCUGCAUCGAUCAGCACUGCCUCAAUUGUCUUGAGUGUUUCCUCCCACUUUUUCAGCUUUGCACGGACACCCUCUUGGCCGGCUAACUUCAGCAACUGAGGGGACAUUAAUUUUUCGAACAACGCCUGAAGAAAGGCAGAAAGAAAGAGCUCCGCCACAGGCAUGGCUUCUUUUUUUUUGGGGGAGGGGAGGUGCUUUUGCAAGUCCAAAAAGAGAGAGAAAAUCAGAAGAAUUCAGACGGGUUAUCACACAAAAGAGAAGAAUGAAAGCAAUAACCAAAAUAAUAAUAUUUAAGAUUCUAACAUUUAAAUAGUAAAUUAAUUUUUAAUAUUAUAUGUCGCUCAUCUAUUAUUUAUCACUUAUUAUUUUAUUCUACUAUGUAAUUAAUGAGUACCACGUCAAUUAGAAUAUGGGUCAAAUAUUGAAUUUCUAUUAUUACCCUUUGCAAAAUGGCAUCACUGGACAAUCUAACCAAUAAUUUACGUAAUCAAAAAAAAAAAACCAAUAAUUUACAAAGUUAAAUUAAAAAUUUAAAAGCUGCACAAAGAGGAUCAAGUUAAUGUCAUUACAACAUUCUAAGCAACUUUAUAUGCCAUACUAAUAUUUUUUACAAAUAAAUAAAAAAUUAUUUAAUUCAACUUUUUUUUAAUAAUGAUAUACAAUUAAAAUCUAUUUAUAUUUCUAUUCGCGGGCUGGAUAUUUCUACCCCAUUGAUAUUCAUGAAUAUAUCUAUUUUACUCAUUUUAGUGAGAUAUAGCCAAAUAAUAAGAUGUUAUAUUGAGUAGAACAAGGCACCAUACUCCUAUCAUCCGUGUUAAAUGUUUAGGAAAUUUGUAAAAAUAACUCAAAAACUUUUACAAUUUUCACAAUUAACCCUCCAAUUUUUUUCCUAUCAACAUUAGCCAAACACAAGAUUUUCUCUCCAAAUUACCCUUAUUUACAAAUCAAAAACAACUUUCAUUCUCCCCCUUUAUCAAACCGAACACAGCCUUGCACUCUUGAAUCAUCACCGGCGAUGGCGAACAGUAAAAGUGAACUCCGAUCAAAUAUAGUAUAAUCCAUCUCGAUCCAACACUAAUCCGUAUCACGAGUGAUAAGAGGUAUUUUCUCAAUUUGUGAGAGUUUCAGUGCGAUUGCAUCUUAGUGCGACAGGCACCUAUCGCACGAUUUUGGUGCGACAGGUAACAUGCAGAUUUACCCGAAUCUGCCUUUUCGUGCGACGGCCAUGCGUGUCACACCAAAAUCGCACCAAGGGAAAGAUUCAUUGUAACUCACUCUUGGUGCGACAAUGCGACAAGCAACCUGUCGCACCAACAUACAAUUAUUUUUUUAUAAUGUUAUAUAUAAAAAUUUAUUCUCUUUAUUAGUUUGAUAGUGCGUAAUUAAAUUUUUUUAAUAAUUUCAUGCUUAAUGGAUUCAGUUUUUUUACUCUCCUUUGCAUCCGGCUCAAGGGUUUGUAAAAUGUCCCCCUGCCAUGAAUUCAACCCAAAAUUUUAAGUGUACAGAACUCGAAUUUAGUAAUGUCAAAAAUAGUACUAUAUGUCUACCAAUGCAUAUUACUUACAAGACGAGAUUCGUCAUUCAAGAAUGAAUAAACAUCAGCAAAGUUUAUUUUAGAAGAAGCCAUGGGGUUCCAUUGCACAAUACAGGGAAUCUUUUUCUUCGAUUUCACACCCAUGCUGACAGCAGAUCUCCGAUCGCUUCGUAAAUCCAAGCCUACAAUAACCAAAGUGAGAAAGCUAUUAAAACUACUAUUAAAUAUUUAAUGUUACAAAACUUAUUAAUAAAAAAAACAAUGCACCUGAACCCUGGAUGUAAAGUCGUAAACAUUGUACUUUUCUAUUUUAUGAUUUGGCUUUUCCAACUAAGUUGUCUUAAAUUUCUCGUCUUUCUCAUUCAGUGCAUUGUCAAGACUCUCGUAUAUCGUUUCCCACGACAAACGAGCCCAUGGAUGAUUUCAGAAGUGAUCUAUAUCAUCUACUUCGUUAAGCCAUGAGAAAUAGAUUUGAAAGUGGCAUUUUCUUCCAUUUAAUGCGACAAUGUCGUCCAUAGCCUCAAAGUCCAACUCCUUAAAUAAUGCAUCGAAUUGCUUAAGAUUAAUGUUGCGAAACAAACCAUCAAAAUACUUAUUCAGUAGCCUAUGCACCGUUUUAUUAUUUGUUAGUGCGGUAUCUACACCAUAGGAAAGUCCAGUAACCAGACAUCAUUCUCCAAUUGACAAGUGUAUCAAAUGCUCACCAAUUUGAAACCAUAACUGAUCCUCCCCCCCGGUAUUCUCCAUGGGCCACUUGCCGAAGCAAAACAUUGUGCAAAAUUACACCACUGAACGGAAAGCUUCGGCACUCCAAGAAAUGUCCAGCUAUGUCGUCCUUGAACAGACACAACUGUCGUUUUGUUAAUUUUUGCUCGAUGGCUUUUACGACUGUAGAAAAGUUACACAUGCUCGAAAUUCACCCCGGGAAGUGAUCGGCAUAAGCUAACUCCAUCCUACCCAGUUUGUUUCUCUAUACUUCUGAUUUCGCCAUGUAUCUAUAAUAUUUAUAACAUUAUUACAUUGCAUUUAUAACCAAAAAAAAAAAAAUUGACUUCACGUAAAAAAACACUGUAAUUUGGUGUGAUAGGCUGCUUGUCGCGCGCGCGAUAGGCACGAUGUAGAGCGUGCGCGGCGCAAGUUGCACCUGAUGGCAAAUCGUGAGCCAAGAAGCCUCCUCCUCCACAAUUUCCCAACUUCUUCACCCAUGCACCACACCAACACUUCACCCAUGCACUCAACAUCACAAACCCUUCAAUCUUCACUCACCAUCACCAACACAACACAAAAACCAAAACAUAAAAGAAGAAUAGAAAAUAGAAAAUUAUGGUUUUUGACCUAACUUUUAAUUUCAGCUUUUGACCGGAAUUUUGGUGAUGUUGGUUGCCGAGAAUGACUCCGGAAAGCCGUUGGCGAUGAGUGAACAUGUUGGGAGAGAAUUCGGCGGAGAGAGAGAGAGAGAGAGAGAGAGAGAGAGAGAGAGAGAGAGAGAGAGAGAGAGAGAGAGAGAGAGAGAGAGAGGAGUUAUGGGAGGGGUAGUUUCGGCACUAGGGAGGACUUUUGGCUAAUGUUGAUAGGAAAAAGUUUAGAUGGCUAGUUGUGAAAAUAACAAAUUUUUUGGGUUAUUUUUAUAAAAUUCCCUUAAAUCUUGAUAUUAGUGUUGUUAAGUUUUGUUUUCAAUAUUAUCGUUAGAGGACAAAACUAUCUUGCAACCGUGGUUCCGUACCACAAUAAUGCUCUAUUACACAAUAGUCCUUCUAAUAAAAAUUGCAGGUUUUGAAAUUUUAAUAUAUAAGCCCUAAUUUAAAAAUUAUUUGUUAUUUUCUCUCUCUUAUUUUCCAUGGUUUAAUAUUAAUCCUGGUUUUUUUUUCUCCUCCACGCUUCUUUUUUUUUUUAUCUGGUUUCUUCUUUUCUUUCUUUUUUUUAAUAGAAUUUCGUAGAUAAUUUUUUGUAUUUUUGAAUUUUCAAAGACAAUAAGAGGAUUUAUUAAAAAAAAGAAAAGAAAAUAAAAAUCAAUCAAUUGGAUUUGAUCUAAUAUUUGCUGUGUUUGACCUCUUCGCUUUAAGUUGACUUUGUUAUAGUAAUUGGGUGGUCUUCUCUCAAAGAUAAAAAGCUUAUUUGGCUUAUUUUUGAUACAAUCAAUUGGUUUAAUGAUCAAAUUUUGCCAACUGAAUCUGAGUUAUCCUAAGAUUUUAAAAAUCUUGUGACACUUGGCCUUUACUGUUAUUAUAUGAAUAGGUUAUAAUUAUCUUUAUUUUUUUAAUUCAUUAACUACCAAUUACUUAGUGAAUUUUUUCUUGGAAAACAUUACAUCAUAAUAGAUUCCUAAUUUAACUACCUUAAAUCACAAAGUUUCAAUCAUUAACGUUAGAAAGAAAAUCUUGUUGAAAGUUUAUUAGGAUUUAAUUACCUUUAUUUGAAUUCGAUUGAAACGUGCAAACACAAACAACUUACCCAUCUCAACUCGUAUAAUUAUUAUGAUUAUUAAAAGAUGAAACCAUAAAUUUUUUGCCUAAAAUGAAAGAAGUUUAACCAAACAUUGAUUAACUCUUUUAAGCUUUGACUAAUCAGACAAACUUUACUUUAUUUGUUUCUAGCCCUUCUACCUAGAAAAAAAACUUUUUCAAUUUUCAUUUUGGUUCAUAAAAAUCAAAUCGACAAAUCUAUUAGAAAUCUUUACAUGAAGUUUAUCAUUAUUAAACUCAUUAUAAGUCUCUACAAAUUUUACCAAUAAACAUAAAACAAUAAGGAAAAUACUACUCUGCUAAUACUCAUCUCCAUUAUGUUCCCAUAAAAAAAAAACUAGAGUAAUAAAAACAUUUGAUAUUGUGUACUUUCUCAAUUGUAUGGAUAAUUAAUUAUAGAAGUAGAUAUGAAAAUAAUAAUAAUAAUUAUAGAAUUAUAAAAUAUUGAUGUAUUUGUGGAAUAAAUCAAGAGAUUUGUCUUUCUAAAGUUCAUAGGCUUUAUUGUAUUGAAGAAGUUGUGGCUCUCAUGGAUGCGCAACUAAAUCGUGCAUUAUAAUUACCCAAUAUCAAUAAUAAAAAUCCUCUCAAAAUUCCCUAUAUCUUCCUUACUCAUAUUAUUUAAUAACUUAGUAAAUAAAUAAAAUAAACAACUAAGAUAGAAAGAAAAAAACAUGAAAGUCAAAAUUCCCUAUAUCUUCCUUACUCAUAUUAUUUAAUAACUUAGCAAAUAAAUAAAAUAAACAACUAAGAUAGAAGGAGAGAUGAGGAUGACUAUUGAUGGGGUGGGAGAGUAAAAUAAUAAUUAUUAUAUUCUUUCUGAUAUUUUAGAAAACUAGAGGGAUUGCGAUGUUAAUUACCUAAGUAAAUACAUCAUACCGUUGCUUUUACUUUUGCAAUUCUUUCGUUGGAUCUAACGGUCAAGUAAAAAAAAGACAAAAAAAGGUGGUACCAUACCACUGUAGUGACUUAGCUGAACCUUGUCGUUAGACCCUACUUAUAACCUUAAACUUUUAGGUCAAAUAGUUUUUAAAUUCCUAAAUUUAUUAUAUAAUUGUAUUUAUGCAGUUUCUUAGUGCUCAUUCUUUACACGUUUAAUAUAGAGUGAAAAUACAUAUAUAUUUUUAAAUUUUUUAGUUCACUUUAAAGCUCUUAUUUUUCAGCAAAUUUCUUUCUUAAUUCUUAGUCAACAUCUUAAAAAAUUUAUUAAGACUCAUUUUAAAUAUUAUUAUUGUUCCGGUGUUCCCUACCUAACUUAAAGUUUCAAAAUAAACAGUUGCUCGAAGACAGACACCCAUCUACAUAGCUAUCAUUGGGGACAAAAAGUUUCUUAUUAUUAAAAAUUUACGACUCUCUUUUUGAAAAAAAAAAAUUAUUUAGUACUUGUGUGAGUGAUGCACUUAACACUCUCAUAUAAACAAUUUGUCUUGAUUGGAGAAGGCUCUUGGAAAUCAAUGGAAUUAAAAUUUUUCUUGUUAUAGGAAUCAUGUGGACUCCAGCAUGGUCUAAAACGACGGCCCUUGCAGCCUUUUUUUUGUUUGCUUUGAAUUACUUUUUUAUUUAAAAAAAUAAAAAAAGAAAAUUGCGAAAGGGUUGUGACAUUUCCCGCGGGCCCACACUUUUUCUAAAGUCGCUCAUUUCCACACGUUUUCUUUGCUUUAGAAAUCAAAGAAAUUCCACACUUUUUUUAAUUUGGAAAAAGUUAAAAAGUUGGAAAAUGCUAUUUACUCGGAUCAAAUCCCGAAGCUAAUAAACGAUGUAGUUUUAAUUUUUUUUUUCUUUUCAUUCUUCCUAAAAUGACGUGGUUUUAGCUUGAUUAAGGUAGCAAUGAUAGUCUCAAAUUGCUUUCUUUCCUCUUUGUCUUACUCUCACCAUAGUCAUUCUCCUUAUAUUUCUCUGUAAAACCACUGCUUUCUUCCCCUUCGUUUCACAAUUGGCAGCCUUGACUCUCUUGAGAUGAGUCAGUGCUGUAACAACCCUUGACAAGUUAAUUAAACUCAAUAAUGGAAGUACCAGUUACAGCCUCUGUGUCAGCAGCAGUUCCUGCACCGCAAAAAUAUAUUUGGAGCCAUGUAAUGAAUUUUCUCACAAUUCUUAUCACAAACAAUGGGUUGUUCAGUUGCUCUGUGAUGAGCACAUAAUAUAUACAUAUUUUACCCUUAAUUCUAUAAUUAUUAGUUAUUUUUAUUUAUUAUUUUUAAUUAAUUAAAUUAUUUUAUUAAAUAGGGUAAUAAAUUGAAGAUUGGGAAUAAUUUAUGCUUAAAGGGAUCAAAGCAAGAGAGAGUUGAAGAUUGUUCAUGCUCGUUGCCGUGGUGAUAAAGUCAAAAGAAGAAAAAAAAACAAUUAAAUUGAUUGGCCGAAUUAAUAGCUAAAGGACAUGACAAAUAUUAGCCAAAUUAAAAAGGAAUGAAAAUUCCAAGUGGAGUGCACGUGAGUGAAGCCAAAGCACAUUAAAAGGGCUUGGCCUUCCGCUUAAGAGCAUCUUCAAAAACUUCUAUAAAUUUUAUUCUUCAAAUAACUAUUUACUUACCUAUGAGGUAAAUAGAAAGGUGAAAAAAUAUGAUAUUUUCUAAAAAACUCUUCAAAUAAAAAUAAGUUAAUAUUAUUUUAAUCAUAUAAUUAGUUUUUUAAAGGAAAAAUUAAUAGCAAUUAAAACACUUCUCUCUUUUUCUUCAAUGAAAAAUAAUAAAAUAUAAAUUGAAGAGGGAGAAAUUAACUCUCCAAAUUUGAAGAGAGAUAAUCAAUUCUUAUUUGAAAAAUCUUAAUUGGAGUGUCUUUUGGAGCUUUAAAUAUUAAUGUGGCUCUUCAAAUAAGUAAUAAAAUCUUAUUUGAAGAGCCUUUUGGUGAUGCUCUAAGAGUUGGAAAAGUCGGUGGGGCCUAUUUUACAGACUAUAUAAGAAAGUUGAACUUUGGCUUUUGGAGGAGGGAAGCCGCCAGAGCAACGAAAAAGAGCAGACGCGAUUCGGCAGAGAAGACAGGAGCGGCAACAACAGUUCAAUAUUUCCAUGGCUGUUUUUAUUUGCUUUGUUGCUUCUUAUUCAAGUAUGUUUAACUAAUUUUCUUAUAUUGAGGUUAAGAAUGAAAUUCUAUUUUAUAAAAUAAUUAUCUUUUUAUUUAAUUUAAUUUCCUACAUAUGUUCUUUUGAUGAUUUCACCAAUUCUGUCAUGCAUUAUUGAUUGUUAGAAUUAAUAUUUGAUUAAAUCUAUGCUUGGGUCUAUAAAGUUUAUAUAUGAUUAUCUUUGAUUCUAUAUUUUUCAUUAAAUUAUUUACACAGAGUGCGUAGAAAAUAUUUGACUCUUUAUUAUUCAAUUCGUUUACAUAGGAUGCUUAGAUAUCAUACUAUUAAGCAGAAAAUAAACCUACACAAUAUUAAUUUUAUUUGGACUUAAUUGUGAUAUCUAUGAGAUGACAUAAAUUGAUUUCGAGUUGUCAUUCUAAAAUUGGAGAUUAAUUAAUAAUUAAGUAAUUACUAGUUGAAUAGUGGUGGAUUCUGAAACCUUGAUAAUUUUUGUCUUAUUAAAUUCUCCUUUGUUUUAAUUGUUUUCUUAGUUUAAUUGGUUUAAUUUUAUUAGAAACUCAAUUUAUUCAACUAGGUUAGGAUUAAUAAUAAUUUUAGAUUUAAAUUAACUUUUCAAUUUAUAACAAUUCAUGUGGGUUCGACCUUAUUACCACUAUUCUAUUUCUGGAUUCGUGCGCUUGCGAGUAUAUUAUAAUUUUUCACAACACUCUCGUAUCUGCCCCAAGAAUGAAGCCAUCCUAUGAAAAAAAAAAAGGACAAAUAAGAAUAAGAUAAGCAUUCCUGAACUGUUUUGAUAGGAGCAUUAUCUAACAGGAUGGAUAUGCUGCAAAAGCGUGCAUAUUUUUAUCCUUAUAAUUUGAGAAAGUGUCAAGUGCCGUAAAACCAUAGGCCACGCUAGUUGGCAAUCAUCUUCAAGGAAACCGUCACAAAUUCCCCUAUUUAUAAUGGCAAUCCACUCUCCCAAACCAAAAAGAACACAUUGACAUGAUAACAAAUACAUAUAUUCCACUUUCAUAUUUCAUCUAAUUAUAACUUCUUUCCGGUGGAAGUCUGAAAUAAUUCCCUUAUACAUUCUUCAUCAUCCUUGAACCAAUCAUUUACUGCAAUAUUUUUAAACGAAGGGGAAGAAAGCAGUGGUUUUACAGAGAAAUAGAAGGAGAAUAAUUAUAGUGAGAGUAAGGCGAAGAAGAGAGAAAGCAAUUUGGGGCUGUCGUUGUUGCCUUAACCAAGCUAAAACGACAACGUUUUAGGGAGAAUGAAAGGAAAAAAAAAAAGGAUUGAAACAGCAUCGUUAAUUGACUUUGGGGUUUGACCCGGGGUAAAUAGUAGAACUCUAAAAAAUUUGGUUCUUAAACAUAAAAGUACUGUACGCGCUUUUUAAAAAGAUUAGGCUCAGAGUUAUUGGAAGAAUUCCUUAUUAGGUUUCCUUAUACAUUCAAGAAAUUUAUUAUUAAAAAGUAAUUUUGGUAUUUAGAUAUAAUAUAAAUUGCGGUGUUAUAUAUUAUAGAAAAAGUGGGGCUAUAUUAAAUCUAUGAAAUUUCCCCCUAUAUCUAUUUAAAAAAUAAAUUCAUUAUCUUGAUAUUCAUUAAUUUUUGUAUUUGGUAAAAAUUAAUUUGUUGAUGCUAAUUAACUUUCAUAACUGAUAAAAAUUUAUUGAUGUUUAUUUUUAAAUGGUGAAUGUUGUUUCUCUUUGUUAGUGAUACUAAUUAUUUAUAGUUAAAAAAAAUCUAAAUGAAUUGAUGAAAAUUUGUGAAAUUAACAAGUGGAAGAGAAGAAAUCGUUAGUUAAAUAUUUUUUUAAAAAUUAUUUAGAUAAUAAAAUUUUUAAUUACAAAGAAGACAUUAGAGAGAAAAUUAAUAGAUUCGGGUGCGUUUGGGAGUGAGAUGCUGUAACAUUUAAACUACAAUUGCUGUAGUUAGGGGCGGAUGCAGUAUAGGACCAGUGGGGCCUGUAGCCCCCGCUGGCUAAAAACAAAUUCUAAGAAUAAAAGAAAAAAUAUUUAAGAUUUAUAAUUAGCCCCCAUUAAAUCUAUUAAAAUUGACCUAUAAAUUUAUAUAUGAACUCACAAAAUUUAAACUUUAACUUUUAGAAUUAUAAAAGUCUACACUAUAAUUAAAAAUAAUGAUAGGUCACCACCACAAAUAUUUUUCUAUUCUUGAAAAUACGUCGAGAACAAUUAUAAAUGUAUUAAAAAAUAUUUUAUACAUUCAAAGUUUUAGUUUUAAAAUUUUACUAUUAUAAAAUCUAGCCCCCAGUAAAUUAUUUUUCUAGAUCCGCCACUGACUGUAGAGAAAAAGUUAUAACUGUAGUCUGUAGAGUAGAAGUUGAUAGUGUUUGGUAAAAAUGAUGUAACUUUUAAACUACAACUACUGAUGGUGUUUGGUAAAUUUUAAUAGCUGUGGAGUGGAUGAAUAUUUGUAAUAAUUAAUUUUAUUAUUUUUAAUUGUUUACAAAUCAAAUUAUUUUUCAUACUUUGAAUUAUUAUAUUGACAUACAAUUACGGUUUAUUACUUUUACAUAUUAAAUUAAUAUUUAUUAAAUCAAAUUUAUUUUUUUGUACAAGUUGUAAUAAAUAAAUUUUAAAUAAAAUAAUUUAAAAAUGAAAAAAUAAAUUCUAGUUUUAAAUAUUGAUUGAAGAAAUAAAUUAUAUCAAAUACGUCUAAUAACGAUCAUACAACAUAACAUAAUAAAAUGAAAAUGUAAUUAAUUACAAAAAUCGUAUAAAUAUUUCUAUUGUCAUGCCUCCAUUAAACUCGCAGCAAUGCCAUCUUUCAAGAUUAUUAUAUCUUAAGCCGUGUUAUCAAUUGUAUCAUAACUUUCUUCAUGAUAUGCAAUAUUGCUUAUAUGCAUGCUAAUACUAUGAUUUGGCUCAUCCAUUGUUUCAUCAAAAUGAUCAUGAUUUUGUGAAUAUCUUUUGAUGUAAUCAUGUAAGGCCAUGGUAGCAAUAACUAUCUUCAUCCGCUUCUUGAAUGGGUAACUGGCAAAACAUGUUAACCCGCCUACUUACAUUUUCGUCAAGUAUUUCUACCAACCAUUUAUGCUCUGUUUGAGUAGAAUUCAUACAAGGCUACUAAUGGAUAAAUGUCAAAUAAUAAUGAUGCAUCAAAACAGCCAUUACACAAACAAGCUAGUCAAACUCCUCUUUAUAAUUAUUCAUAUUCUUAUAUCGAAUCUAUAACCAAUUAUCUAAAAUUAUAAUGAGAUAAUUCAAACUACAAGUUGGUCAAAUUCAGACUCCUUCACUCUCAAAGCAGAUUCAUGAUUAGUAAUAAUCUUUUGAAUUUCAUUCUGCAUUGUUAAAAGAAAAAAAAAAUGAGGGGAAUAAUGAAAUAGUUGCACAAGUAGUUGGAUUCAUUUUUGAAAUAUGAAACAGCAUUCAAUAAAAGCGUAAAAAAAAAAAAAAAUGAAAACACAUGGAUCAUAGUUGGCUGAAAACCACAGCAGUGUUUUUGCCGUGUGAGUUUUGCAAUUUUAUUUUAUUAGUGAAUUUCAUAAGUCCCAGUCUAGCGUUGAAUUAUGCAGCAUCGAAUUUUCAUAAGGCAUGAGAUUCUAUUGCCAAUUCUCAUAAGUUCCAGUUUCAUUAAGUUUAUUGGUUGAACACUGUUAGCUUCUUUUUCCUUUCGUGAGAGAGAAAGCGGGGGUGUACUGGAGAGUGGAUAAAAAAAAGAGUAAUGUAGCGCUGCAUACAACUAGUAAUAAUUGUUACGCUUACGCUAGUUAAUGAAGUGAUGGAUAUUACAAUUGUAAAUUCUGGGAAUACACCCUGGCACUUUCCUGAACUCUUUCAAAGAAAUUCAUACAUCAACACAAACAAUUUGAUUUGAAGAAAUUGAUCUACUCUUUCAAAGAAAUCCAUGCACUAGGGUCUUAUAUUUCCACCAAAAAAAUUCCACACGCAACAAAAUAUCAAACAAUACGGGUCCCAACGACGAAAAUCAAGAAUGAAAUUGAUUAUAGGCUUUGAAAAUUCUUUUUCACAUUGACCAGAAGUCUACUGACGGCUCUGUACGUAUGAAUGUCAAGCUGCUGGUCUUUAAUUUAUGCAAGCCAAAUUUCCCACACAGCAAACGAAGAUCAAUAGCACGGGACAUGGAAACAAUGAAAAGUAUGCUUUACAAGCAAAAUUGUCUGCUUGGGCAUGUGGAUUUUGUGAAGGAGAUUAUACGCCAAAAGCUAGAGCUUGCUGGAAAGUCAAGACAUAAUUUUAGAAGACAUAUUAACAAUCAUUUCAAUGGAAACUAAAAGAAUUAUGUGUGUGUGUUUGUGUAAGAAGAAGCUUUUAUUUUUCCUCAAGCAAAUGGUAUUUAGGUCAAAAAGUUUCUAUAUCCCUAAAUUUAUUAAUUAUAUUUGUAUAGUUUCUUAGUGCUAAUUCCUUACACAUUUAAUAUGGAGUGAAAAUACAUUUUUUUUUUAAUUUUCUGAUUCACUUUAAAACACUUAUUUUCCAGUAAUUUUCUUUCUUACUUCUUAGUCAACAUCCUAAAAAAUUUAUUAAAACUUAUUUUAAAUAUUAUUAUGGCUCCUUACCUAACUUAAAGUUUCAAAUUAAACGAUUGCUCGAAGACAUGGUGUCUUAGACACCAAUCUACAUUGGGGACAAAAAAUUCUUAUUAUUAAAAAUUUAUGAAUCUCUUUUUUUUUUUUAAAAAUUGAAGUAAAAAAAAAAAAAAAAACUUAGCACUUGUGCAAGUAAUGCGCUUAACACUCUUAUAUGAACAAUUCGCCUUGAUUGGAGCAGGUUCUUGGAAAUCAAUGGAAUUAAAAUUUUUCUUGUUAUAGAAUCAUGCGGACUCCAGCAUGGUCUAAAACGACGGCCCUUGCAGUUAGGGGUGGGCAAAAAAACUGUAGUCUUAAAAAAAUCGAACCGAACCGAUGGUUUUUUCUAAUUCGGUUCGGUUUUUAUUUUUUAAAAAAACCGAAUAUACCGUUUGUAAAAAAAACCGAAAUGUCGGUUUAGUAUUCGGUUCACUUAGCUGAACCGAAAAACCGAACCGAAAAAUCGAAUUAUUUUUUGAUUUUAUUCAAAUCAAACAUGUGUUAAUAAUUUUAUUCAAAUCAAACAUGUGUUAUUUCUCUUUAUAACAUUAUGAUUAUGUUUAUAUAGAUGGAGUAUUGGAGUUUGGUUAUAUAUUUUAAAAUUUUAAUAUUUCAUAUAUUUGGGAGUAUCUUAUUAAUAGUUAGUAAGAUAUUAGUGAUAAAAUGUGUUUUGAAUAUUUUGUAUUUAUUGUUAAUAUUUGUAAUAAAAUUAGGAUAAAUUAAUUGUUGAAAAAAAUUAUUACAUUCAUGAGGCCCAAUGGGCUAAAAAUUUAAAAAUUCAAAAUAGGCCUAAUAGGCCCAGAACCGAAAAAACCGAACCGAACCGAACCGAUCCGAAAAGAACCGUUUGAGUUCGGUUCUUAUUGAGUUCGGUUCUUAUUCGGUUCUUUUUAUAAAAUAACCGAUUUAAAUCGGUUCUACUUAAUUUUAAACCGAACCGAACCGAACCGUGCCCACCCCUACUUACAGCCGAUUUUUUUUAGUGCUUUUUAUUAUUUUUUGUUAAAAAAAAGUGAAAUUUUUUUUGGAAAAGGGCACUGACAUUUCCCGCGGGCCCACACUUUUCCCAAACUCAUCCAUUCCGCAAAAAAAUUAUAUUAAAUUUAUUAAAACGAUUGCGAUGCUUCUUUUUUCAAUUUGGAAAAAUAUUACGUGUGAAUAAAAGGUAUACAUUGAAUAAUUUUGUUAUUAAAAGGGUAGUUUUGGCAUUUAGAUAUAUUUAAAACUGGGGUGUUAUAUAUUGUACAAAAGGGUAGGCUUAUUUAUACCCAUCAAAUUCAUCUCUAUAUUAUUAUUUUUACAUUGCAUUAUUUUGAUAUUCAUUAACUUUUGUGUUUGGUAAAAAUUAAUUUUUUGAUGUUCAUUAACUUUUAUGAUUGAUAAAAAUUUGUUAAUGUUCAUUUUUAAAUAGUAAAUUUUAUUCGUCUUAAUUAGUAAUACUAAUUAUUUAUAGUUAAAAUAAUAUAUCUAAAUGAAUUGAUGAGAAUUUAUGAAAUUAAAAAGAAUAAGAGACGAAAGAGUUAAUUAAGUAAUUUUUUUAAAAUUAUUUAGAUAAUAAAAUAUUUUCAAUUAAAAGAAGACUUAGAGAAAAAAAAAAUUAAUGGGUUCAAGUAACCACAUUCUAUAUAUAAAAAAAAAAUAGUAAUAAUACAGCCACAAACUCUUGUACAAACUUAUCUUGUACAAACUGAUGUUACAUAAUAAAAUUGGUUGAAUUAAAUAUCUCUUGGUUCACAUGAUUUAUUUAUGUUAUUUUCUAUUUUCAUUCAAUCAAUGAAUUAAUGCCACAUCAGUUUGUACAAGAUAAAUUUGUAUAAGAAUUUAUGAAUGUAUCAUUACUCAUAAAAAAAAAAGGGCAAAAUUAUUACCCAUUCCCUUUAGCCUUGAUAUUAACCCCAUAUGGUUAUUUAGUUUUCUUGUCAUUAUUGCCCCGCCAUAUUUAUAUAAAUUUUCAUUAUUGCCCAUUGCACGUUUUAUGUAAGGGUGUGGAUAUUUCCACCCCACUAUUUUUAUAAACUCACCCCAUCUUCAUAAAAUAAUUACAAUAAGUUCACAUUAUUUUAUAGAAUUACAAAUUAAUAAUAAGUUUGAAUAAUUAAUUAAUUAAAUCAUUCUUAUAAUAUUUUUUUUCUUACUUUGUCUUUUAACAAUCUUUAACACUUUAAGGUUGCUUUAAGAUAAGUUUAAUUUAACUAAUUUAUCCUUAUAAUAUAAAAUAACUAGAUUAACCUAAGAAAUAUAUAUGUUAUUGUAACUAAUUGUUUAGGCAUUUAGUUUUAUAUUUUAUAAUCUAAUAUGUUUUAUAUAAAAUUUAAUAAUUUUCAAUACUCCAGAUGUCUUAAUUACAUCUCGUUAGUUUAGUAGAAUAUUAAUAAUCAUACUAAAAAAGUACUACUUACACAUCAAUAAAAUAUAAAAAAAAUUGUAUAUAAAUUUAUUAAAGUUAAAGUAAAUUUUUAGAUAUUUUUAGUACUUUUACCUUAUGAGGUUAGAAUAAUUAUAUUAAUUUAUGUUAAAACAACCCUAUUGAUAAAAUAUAAUAAAAAAAUAGUCUCAUAAAAAAUUAAUUAAUGAAUAUGGAUUUAAUUGGUUAAAUUUUUAAAUUUCUUCUUAAUUUAAAAUUUUAAAAAAUAAUGUGCACUUGUUGUAAUAAUUUUUAAAAAUUGGAGUGGGUUAAUAAAAUUUAUGGGGUGGAAAUAUCACCAGCCUUUAUGUAAUUGCUCGCUAAAGUUUAUAUUUCCUUCGUUAAGUAACCAUCUCAAACCAAAAUCCUAAUAUUGCUUCUGGUUGUAACUUGCAUGUAAUUCAUACCCAAAGGCUUACGCAAUCUUAGCCAUCUUCAUUGCAUUAAUAUAGAAGACUGUCAAAAUCUUGUUUCUUUCUCGGAGGAUUUGCUUCCCGGCACCAUCAUGGAAUUUUCAGUCCAAAACUGUGAUAAUCUCAAAGGCCUACGAGUUGGCAUGUUCAAUUCUCUUCAAGAUUUACUCCUGUAGCAAUGUCCGGGCAUUCAAUUCUUCCCAGAAGAGGUGUUUAUCCGCCAACCUAAGGUACCUUGGAAUUUCUGGUGAUAACAUUUUGUCCUAGGAAUUAAAUGAUUAGUAACAUUCUACUGGCAAGAUUUUUGAAACAUAAUUUUCCAACAUUUGUUCUGGAGUAAGUUAUCAGAUUUUUUUCUUAUGUACUGAAUCUAUAUAACUCAUUGCAGCCUUAAACGGGAGCCACGCACUGCACACAUCCUAGUCUGCCAUGUCACAUUUGAGUCUUCAAUGGCAGGGUAUCUGUCCGGCAGCUCAUGCUCGUGUCAGCAUCGUCAAAGAAUGAAUGUAGAUGCUGAUUUUCAUAUUUUCAGAAAGGUAAAAGGGCUGCUUAUUUUAGCUUGCCUUGAUUGCAAUUUUCAGACACAGUGAAUUUUGUGAUUCUAGGCCCAUAAAGAUUAGUGCUGUUCUUUGUUGAGAGCAAGGCCCAAUACGAUGCUACUAAUGUUUUUUUUAAUUUUAAUUCUUAUUCAAAGCGAUAAAAGAUUAUUUUUCUUUCAAAGAAAUAGAAAUUGCCUUCCAAUGCUCAUAUAUUUUUUGGUCUUCCAGCAUCUUAUUGUAAUUAAUGCUGUAGUAAAAGUUUUCCAGAUGCCUCAUAGGUCCUAAAGUUUUUUUUGAACCGAUUAAGCAUCAGGUUACUGUUUUACAUAGAGAUAUAUACAACUGCUAUGACAGUAGGUCAUUACACUGAUAUUUAUAAUCAGAUAUAUACAUGAGACUUAUAUUAUUAUAUUUUUAUUCUAUGAAGUACAUGCCCAUCUAAAUACCCCUCACAGAGGAGGGAUGUCUCUACUCCACUCGCAUUUCGCAAGGGAGAAAGACGUUAUAAGAAGUCUCCACACAAUUAUGUUUAAUUGAGGGAGGUUGAGUCCAUGGGGACUCGAACCAUUGCCCUCAUAGUCAUACUUAACUUUGAGGGCAAUGGUUCACCACUGGGCUACAAGCCCAAGUGGCAUAGGUCCUAAAGUUAAAGUCACUGAUCUUGCAAGAGGAAGCCAUAUGGAUCGAGCAAUAGCCCUUUUAUUUCAUAUUUUUCAUCUAUCUAUGCUUAAAUGUUUCUCAUUUUCUUAUAAAGAUGGAAGAUACCACCAGUUAAUCGUACAAUGAGCUUCUAAAUGUAUUACACAAGUACCUGUUGAAACAGUGGAUGGUAGCGCAAUUCACAUAUCCUUGCUGAUUUCCUAAAGCUUGCAGUAACAAACCUCUUAAUCUAUGCUGCUCUACUUUUUGGAUGAAUGCUUCGAUAUUUGAAAUAAACUGCAUUUCAGAGAGUUAGCGAUACUCAAUGAUGCGAAUUAACACUCGUAUCAUCUAUGGGUUGUGUGCAUCCUUCCAACAACAGCCUUAUGAAGAGAUUGGCUUUUGGACCUUCUUACUGUUUCAGACUGGUAUCUGUUAUUAGCCUACCACCACUCUUAUAUUAUUAUGUCAGUGUGCUGAGAUAUGCUUUGUGGGCGCUUGUUUUUUCCCCUCCUCUUUGUCAUGCUCAUAAAGUAAAGAUUCAUUGUUUUUUGCCUUCUUGAUGGGUUUGAUUAAAAGCCAAAUUGAUGAUGCUUAAAGGAAAAUCCAGGCCUUACAGCAAAUGGGGUAUUUUUUUAGAUCAUGCUGGUAAAUUCUUUUGGGUGGAUUUCAGCAAUCUUUAGGCCUUCAAUACAGUUUACUGUGUGGAAAUUAUAUGAGUGCUUGAUUUAAUCACCAAAGCAGCCUUUAGUCAAAGGACUGAUGAAUCUUUGGCUCCUAGCUAGUUUGUUAAUGAAUUUUAGAUUUUCUCAAGCUUUAUUUACCAGUUCAACUUCAAUAGACAAGUGCUGAUAUUAUAUGAGAUCCGUAAUUUAUUGCUUCUUCCCCCCUCCCUCUCUUAAAUGCUUAAUUGUGUCAGAUUCUACAAAUUGUAAUUGCUUUUAAAGCUUCUGAGUUCACAGAUCCUUGAUUUCUCGAGUUACUUUGUUGACAGGGAUUUCACUAACCUUUUUUUUUUUUUAUAACAAAAUGCAUAGAAUUAGUCUUAAAGCAUCAAUAGAAAAUUACUCUAUAACACUGAUGGUACAAACAAUUAAUUAAACCUAACCUAUUGUCACGGGAUGAGUAUCUUGCGCAGCUAACCCGUGCGGCACUUAGACAACUUUGCCGAAUGUUGCUAAGUAAGCCUAUAGCUUCUCGAACUAGAGAAGAGAGCAAUGGAGCCGAAUGAGAAAGCUUGUAUUGCACAAAGAGAGAUUACAAUGCUUGAGUUGCUUACAAAGCUUGUUGUUGUGUUUGUUGGAUACAAAUGCCUAAUGACAUCCCAUAUUUAUAGGGGAGGCUUGACAAGCUCUAGAUAUUCUAGAGAAUUCUACCAUGUGCCUAGAAUUCUAGAUAUUUACAUGUGCUGGAAAUGUAUGGAGUAUUCUAGAAUAUUUACUAGUUUAUUUGUGCUAGAGUUGCCUAGAAUGUUCCGGAAUUGGGCCAAGCUAGCAUUCUUGGCCUUGUGUUGGCUCUCUAGCCCGAAAUUGUGGGCAAUUGGGCUAGCGAAUUGGGCGGACCGUAACAUCCUCCCCCACCUAAGCUCGCGGCGUCCUCGUCGCGAUCUCGUCCUUGCUCCUUCACGGACUUGUUCCGCGAUUUGCCAUUAGUCUUCUUGUGCUUCACUCUUGGGGAGGUUCCGCCACUUGCUCCGCAUGUGGUCGUUUCCUUCUUUCGGUUGGUGUUGCGGCGUCCCCUCUUGUGUUUCCGCAACCCCUUAUGCUCGGAUGGCUUUGUGCGUUGCUCAGCCACUCGUCUCGGUGGGAGCUUCGAAGGCAUAGCGUCCUUACCUUUGUCAUGGACGGCUCGUACUUGUUGUGGGACUUGGCUUGGAGGGCUUUCGGAAUCCUCUCCCUUGUGGUGUUGCCGGAUGGAGACCAAGUGGUCCGGAUUCUUCUUGAAUCCUCGUCUGCACUGCAUGACCGAGAGCGCCUUUUCUGCGGGUUGUGCGCGCUCGACAGGUACCACGCAUGUCUUACUCCCAUCGAAGAUGCUAAGGGAGUUUGUUGCUGGAAGUGGGAAGGCAUGUACCUUAUCGAAGAAUUCCAUGCCAAGGAUCAUUGCGAAGUCAUCCAUCGGCACAAUCGAGAAGUCGAGCUUCCCAUUCCAUGUCCCAAGCGUAACGUGUACGCCUCAUGUGGUUCCCGCAAAUGGCUUGGCGGGUGAGUUUACAGCCUUGAUGGUGCCUCUGUGUUGCGUAACCUUGAGGCCUAGACACUUAGCCUCUUCUUCGGAGAUGAAGUUGUGCGUUGCUCCGGUGUCAAGGAGCGCACGAACGGUUCGGCCAUUAAUGAGCACACUUACGAACAUGAGCCCUUUUCUUGUAGGUUCUGGCGGUUGGCUCACGAGUGUGCUAAGGCGUUGGAGCGAACCCAAGUUGUGUUGAGGUUCCUCCGCAGUCGGUGUGUGUUGGCCUUUGAGUUGUGCCACGAGGGCAUUCAACGACUUUUUCUCUGGGCAGUCGCGCACCCAAUGAGGGCCAUUGCAAAUGAAGCAUGGGCUUCGAGGCUUGGGUGGCUUCUCGGACUUACUUUGCCCGCCCUUGCCGCUUGGAGGCUUUUUCUUGCUCCACUCCUUGCAAUUGCGGUCGUUGUCCUCACGGCUCUCUCCCCCACCUUGGUCGUAGCUAGACCUCUUGUCCUUGAGCUGGGCGGAGUAUUCAGUGAGCGACUCCGCAACGGCAAUAGCGUCGUCAAGUGUUUGAACACCACGCCUAUCGAGCUCGGUCUUGGCCCAAUCCUUGAGGCCAUCUUGGAAGUAGAAGAGUGAAUCCUUGUCGGACAUGUCGCUUAUCUCCAACAUAAGGGUAGUGAACUCGUUGAUGUAGUCCCGAAUGCUACCCGUUUGCUUGAGGCGACGUAAGCGCGCUCGCGCUUCCUUCUCCGCAUUGCUUGGGGCGAACUGCUUACGGAGUUCUUGCUUGAAGUCGGCCCAAGUGUCGAUGGUGCAAAUGCCCUUGCCCAUCUCGCCAUGCUUGCGACGCCACCAUAGUUGUGCAGCGCCUCGAAGAUAGGUUGGUGCAGUGCCCACUUUCGAUGCCUCAUCUCGAACACCCAUGGCAUCGAAGUAUUGAUCAAGCCCAAAGAGGAAAUUGUCCACGAUUGUGGCAUUGCGUGUGCCAUCGUAUGUGUCGGGCUUUGGCGCGUCAAUGCGGCGCGCAUCACUCGAGUUUACGGAAGCUAGACUUGCGGAGAGUGUGCGCUUGUGCCAUGCCCAAUCCGAGCAGACUUCAUCCACUUCCGCACGGACAGCGCGUAGUUCGUCCUGAACAAAACUACAAAUUUUGAGCAACUCAUCAUGGAAAGAACGAAACUCACCUCGGAGAAUGUUCGCUUGCUCAUGGAUGAGAGUUUUUGUGGCCACUGUGAACUCGACGUAUUCUCCCUCAAGACCGUCCACUCUUUCCUCCAAUCCCACGAGGCUAUCUUGAUCGGCGGACAAUGCUAUUUCGAGAGUGCCUACACGAGGCUCCAACGCAUCCACGGAUAGGGCCUUGGACUUGCCGCGAGUCUUGCCUUGGGCGCGAUCUCCCUCUCGGCCGCGGCUUGGUUCCAGUGGAACAUCCACACCAACAACACCCUCUUGUGCUACGUUCGAAGGGUUGGCCAUUGCUUCGUGAGCUAAUUUGCGUGCGUGCAAACCUUAGCUCUGAUACCACUUGUCACAGGAUGAGUAUCUUGCGCAGCUAACCCGUGCGGCACUUAGACAACUUUGCCGAAUGUUGCUAAGUAAGCCUAUAGCUUCUCGAACUAGAGAAGAGAGCAAUGGAGCCAAAUGAGAAAACUUGUAUUGCACAAAGAGAGAUUACAAUGCUUGAGUUGCUUACAAAGCUUGUUGUUGUGUUUGUUGGAUACAAAUGCCUAAUGCCAUCCCAUAUUUAUAGGGGAGGCUUGACAAGCUCUAGAUAUUCUAGAGAAUUCUACCAUGUGCCUAGAAUUCUAGAUAUUUACAUGUGCUGGAAAUGUAUGGAGUAUUCUAGAAUAUUUACUAGCUUAUUUGUGCUAGAGUUGCCUAGAAUGUUCCGGAAUUGGGCCAAGCUAGCACUCUUGGCCUUGUGUUGGCUCUCUAGCCCGAAAUUGUGGGCAAUUGGGCUAGCGAAUUGGGCGGACCGUAACACUAUGCUAUGAAAAUCAUUUGAACUAUGAAGGAGUUUGUUGAUAGCAUGAGCAUCAGAAUGCUCUGCUCACUAACUGCAAUCAGUGCAAAUCAGCAAAUGAAUCUGCAAUAGCAUUAGUUUCAUACAUCUAUUAAGGCUUGAGAAAUCUGAAGUUCAACAAUCUACUCAAAGGAUGACAAUUAGCAGGGAGUCUCAUUGAUGCCGACGAUUCAAUCACCCCCAUAAUUUCUGUAUAACAAACUGUAUUGUGGACUAAAGACUGCCAAAAGCCACCCAAAGAAAUUUAUCAGUAUGAUCCUGGAAAAGCGCCUACUUGCUGCAAGUGCAAGACCAGGAUUUCCUUUCAAAUUAGCACUAUUCGAAUCCACAGAGGAGGCCGUCACAAACCAUGCCUCAACAGCCGAUGUAAAUCCCAUCAAACUAGAUAUUUCAAGCUUAUAGGACUGCCUAGUGAUAAAACCGCCGCGGCCAUAGAUACCAGUCCAAGAGCCAAUCACUUCAUAAGGAUGUUGCUGGAAAGAGGCACACAAGGAGCACACCUUGUAUCAUUGACUAUUCCAACUCUUGGAAUACAUUUAAUAAUCCUGAUAUUCAUCCAACCAUAAAGAAAAACAGAUUAAAGGAUAUUGUAUCCAAGAAAGAAGAAAAAUGAUGCUGGAAAAAUAUGACACAAGUCAAGUUUAGAUUAGGAAAGAAGGCUAAUCACUUACCACAAGCUUGAGAGCAACCACUGUUUUGACAGAUAAUUCUUGCUCAAUCAGGAUAUGCAGAUGAUUCAGAUGCUCUUUGUAUGCUUGAUUGGUGAUUACAGUCUAAUUAUCAGCUCCAGAUAUCUAGAUGGCUUCAGCUGUCUGCGUCUUCCAUCUCGAUAAGAAUGAACAGAAAGUUUUUUCUGGUAUUAUCAAAUUCUAGACCCUUAAUACAGCCAGCACCUCUGAUUAGAAAGCAAACAGCAGUCCCUUAUGGCUUAUCUUGCAUGAAGACUCAUAACUCUUGGACCUAAGAGGCAUCUGUGAAACUUUUACUGCAGAAUUAAAUUACAAUAAGAUGCCUGGGAUACCAAAAAUGUCCAAGCACUGGACGGCAAAUUCUAUUUUUAUCUUUAAAGAAAAAUACUUUUUUUCAUAGUAUAUUAAAAAUAAAGAAGAAUAAAACAAAAUCUUUGAUAACAUAAUAAACCUUGCACCUUCACAACUGAUAAAACCAGAGCCAAAAUGCAAAAAGGUAAAAAAAUAACAAAAGCUCAUAAACCGCAUAACAAAACCAAUAAGAAGGAAGUCAUUAUGAAUUUAUGAAUCAAAUAAAAGCAAAGCAAUAAUCUCCAUGGGCUGCAAAUCUCACUACUAAUGUUAAUUCUGAUUAUUGAUUAUUCCAAUCGAGGCUAACCAAAAUAUCAGCCGUCCUAUUACCUUCUUUAAGAGUAUGAGAAAUCAGCGAUUGAAUUCCUUUCUUAGCGAUGCUGACACCUGCAUGAGACUUGCAUAGCGGAUCAAAAUGUGCAUGGCCAUCAUAUUAAAUUUCAAUGAGUGAUAUAAAUCCAGGACAUAACAAUAACCUGAUAACAUAGUCCUGAACACAUUAACAGACUUAUAUUUCAAAUUUUUUAAAGUAAAAUGUUAUUAAUCUUUUAAUUCCAAGGGUAACAUUUAAUUUGCAGUGUACUUAUUUAUCUUCAUUCCGGGGAUUGGACUUACAGAGAGGUAGAUGACAUUGCAGCAAGAUCCGGUGAGCUUUUCAGCUUUCAGCUGCUACUUUAGUUCCGUCACCAGAUUGUCCACUGCCAUCCUCCAAGUAUCACCUUUCAUUAACUUCAGAAUAUAUGGAAGGGCAAGAACUUCAUUUUAUUACAUUGAGAUACUAUGAAAAUCCAGGCUGAUUGUCCUCCAGAUAAUAAGAUAAGAUGAGGGGACUUGUGAUCUAAGCCAGUCUCAGCAGAUUACUGCGGCAUUCAACCGAAAAUUGUCUCAUUGAAUGGCCGAUUGGUGUUUAAAUUUAAUUAGCAGCUGCAGACAUGUAGAUAGUAUCAGUUAUUUUCGGUCUUGUCAAAUUCAGUAACAUUUAUAGUUGAAAAGAAACUGAAUCAAAAGAGCUAUUGCUAGAUCCUUUAUUAAAUAUACCUGCCAUUUUCGCUACAGCAUUAAAUUACAAUAAGAUGCUGUGAGACCAAAAUUGUAAAAGAAAUGGAAGGCAAAUUCUUUUUCUUGUGUAAAGGAAAAUACUUUUUAAUAGCUUUUAAUAAGAAAAAACAAGAAUGAACAAAAAUUAGCAGUAAACAAAUGAGGCUUAUUCUUUAACAACUGAUAGAGAAAGCCAGAAAACCAGAGCUAAAACUUAAAAAGAAAACCAAAAUAACUCAUUCCUUGGCGAAGUACGAGAUAGAGUUCAUAAACCACACAUCUAGACAACCAAUAAUAGGUCAGUCGAUGUCAAUCAAGUAAAAAGAAAAACACUAAUCUUCUAGACAAAUGAGCGGCACUAUUACCUUCUUGGGAAGUAUGAGAUGUCUGAAUUCAUUCCUUGGCGAAGUCAAUACCACCAUGAGCCGUCUGAUGGAGACACCUAUUGAAGAUUCAUAUCACGGAUCAAGAUAACAAAAUGCUGAUAACUUAUAUCUGAACACAUAAACUGAAAGUUAUUUUUCAAAAAGCUUACAAAACGUCACUUCUAGUAAGUUACUAAUGAUUUAAUUUUUUGGUUAACAUGUAAUGUAUAGUUUACUUAUAUGUACUCAAUCUGGAGAUAGGACUUACAGAGAGGUAAGAUGAUAUUGCGACAGAAGUCCCUUCACCAUCCGCUACGUGUCACAUUCCAUUAAACUCGGCAAAUAUCGAAGAGCAAGGAUUUCAUUUUUACAUUGAGAUAAUCGUCGAACAAAUAUACAGCUUGAUUGUCCUCUUGAUAGUCAUGUCAAUCGAGCUACCUUGUGAUGAAAGCCCAUUUUGUGCUAACUAAUGCUGCAUUCAGCCAAAAAUCUGCACAUCAACAUUCCAGGAAUUACUGUUAAAAUACAGGAUAACAGAUUAAUGCUCCUUUUUGUAUUAUCUAAGUUCAUGAAAAUCAAACUGAUUUCUGGAAAAUAUUUAAAUGAUUUCAUAACAGUAAUCUGAAUUGUUCAGGGGAUAGAAGUUGACAGAGCUGUCUUCAAACACAAGAUUGGAGAGAGCAUUUUCUGGUUCUACGCUCUUCUUUUGUUUUGAAGAUGAAAAUAGACCUUGUGCGUCCUCUUACAGACGGUGAAUGGAUUUGCCACCUAUCAAAACGGAAGGAAUGUGGGCUAUCUUUGGCCACUCUUGUCCUUUGCCCUUUUUGAAUUUGUUCUCCAAUAAAGGACAGCCUUGAAUAUCUAGAAACAAAAGAGACGAUGGAAAGCCUGCCUCCGGGAAGGAAGUGAAAUUUGGGCAAGAGGAGACUUUUAAUUGCUCAAGAGAUAGAAGGUAAUGAAAACCCUUGGAAGAUAGGCGUUCCAAUUUUGGGAAAUCUGAAAUUCUAAUCAAAGUCAGAGAGGUCGGCAAUAUCACUCCCUUCUCUACCUCAGGAAAAGACACAGCAUCUGAGCAUCUAUUAAUGCAGUGUUUCCUAAGAGAGGAAAACUUGUCAAAGCCCCACUUGACGAGUGGCUUAUAGAUAUUAUCACCUGAAAUUUCAAGGUCCGUUAAAUUGGUGGAUAAACCCUCUUCUGGAAAGAACACAAUGCCUGGACAUUCGAUUAGGGUUAAAAGUUGAAGAGAGCUGAGUUUGCCGGUUGGUAGAGGGGCUUUAAGUUUAUCACAGUCUUCGAUUGAAACGUCUACGACAUUGCUGGGAAGCGCAUCUUCUGGGAGAGAAACUAGAUUAUGACAACCUUGGAUACUUAUCCGAUGAAGAUGGCUAAGAUUGUUCAAUCCUUUUGGUAACGAUUUAAGAUUCUUACAAUAAGAUAACCGAAUAGAUCUAAGACAUGCAUCAUCAUGGAAUCUCUCGGCUAUAGACUCUAUAUUUGAACAACUAUCAAUUGUCAGCUCUUCGACCGCCACAGACAAUUGGCAUUCUGAUGUCAGCACCUUGAAAUUUGAACAAUCCUCAAUUUGAAUGCAUUUGAGUGUGACGGGUAACCGGCCGCUGGACCAUAAGCGAGUGAGCGAUGGGCAGGACUGGACGGAUAAGCUCUCAAGAUCAAGAUAUGUGCUGCUGCUGCUGUUGUUGAUGUUUUUCUCCAGCACCGAAGGAGAAGAACAACUAUUUUCUCCAUCAUCCAACACACACUGCUGUAUCUCACAAUAUUCUAGUUCAAUUUCUUUGAGAGAUGAAGGUAGAUGCUCUCUUGCAAUGGAUUUUAAAGAAUGACAACCUAUGAUUCGCAAGACCUCAAGUCGUGCAUUGUUGUGUAUCAUUCCAUCCGUUAAGGAUGUUAGAGCAUUGCAAUCCUUGAUGGUAAUUUCGGUCAAACUGGAAAGAAAGCAGGCCAAAGCAGGCAUUUGGGAGCGAAACGAGAGUUGGACACUUCCCGAUAUGUAGGUCUUUUUGGCAGGUUAGGCUGUGCAGCCCUUGUAGCGGCUUCCCCAGACAAAUCUCAUUUACAAACCCUUCACAACCGACAAUCAUCAGUUGUUAGAAAAAACAACAAAUUCAAAAGGAAAUUAAAAAUGUGAAACUGUUACAACAAAAAUUCAAAAGGAAAUUAAAAACGUGAAACUGUUACAACAAAAAUUCAAAAGGAAAUUAAAAACGUGCCAAGCUUGCAUGGAUGAUUUUGGGCUGACGGGCUGACAUUCGCGUACGCACACGAGUUCAAUCAAGUCGGUCUUGGAUUUGCACCCCCCCGCACACGCGCGUGUGGAGAGAGCCUCUACCGUUAUAAUUUUUUCCCAUGUGGGAUAAGCAUCAUUUCCUUUCAAAUUUCCAACUUCAAGGGUGAACUUUGAGAGACAAUUUCUCAUUCACCCAAGCACCAUUUUGAGAAAAUAAGAUUAUACUUUUGAAGUAUCAACGGAGUAGAAUCCGAACCUCACAAAAUUUUCCACUUUCGUUAAGUGGAACCCACUCAAAAUGUGCCCUCAAAAUAGCAUAUAUACAUGCUAUUUUUUCAACAACUUUUGACUCGACCAAUUUUCGAACUUUGAAAUAUUGCAAAGAGCCAUCUCGUUCAGUGACUUGGACUCAGAUGGACCAUCGCACACCAACCUUUUGCAUCCAUCAAUUUCCAUCGUGCAGAGAGCUGGGAGGCUUGGUAAUGAUAUCGCCAAGUGCAUGCAUCCGGCUAUCACAAUUUCCUCCAAAGAAGGAAGAUGGUUAGGUAAUCGUCCAGAGAGUUUGGGGCAUCUUUUAAUUGAAAGCUUUCGGAGAUGAGAGAAUGCCUGCACAUGCUCAUAAUUUUCUCUGUUAGGUUCCCAGUGCUCCCAUUCUUGCAAAUCCUCAAAAUAUAAAGUCUGCAAUGAUCGAAAAGGUUUUGAGCAACCUUCCCCAUAAAUCUCCGAACCUACGCUUUUUAAUGCCGACAUGCCUGCGAUGGUGAGAUCUUUUAGUGAGCACAAUUGUCCUAGCGAGGGCAAGGAUGUGCAUCUAUCGCAAUUUUUCAAUAUUAGGACCGCAACAUUGGAAAACGAUGGAUCUCCUACCCAAGAUGGGAACCUUGUACUACCGUAAGAAAUGAUUUCAAGCCUUUUAAUAUUACAGUGAGGCUUCAGCAUGUCAAGAAUAUUCUUUUCUCUAAGCUCAUCUACCGGGCCGCCGCUCCAUACUAACUUCAAGACUUCUAGGUCUUUCUUCCCUCUUAACAUAGCCUCAUUUGCUUCUUGUGAAUCGAUGGCAUUCUUCAGUCCUGAAAUGCAAAGUCUUCCUCAAAGAAACUCCCAAUUCUUCAAAUCUUUCAAAGCACAUCCGCUAUCUUCGCCAACAAUAAAAUCAGUCAAAGUCCGAAGACAUUUUAAUUCUUUCAUUCCUAAUGGUAACUCACAUAACCGAUCUGCACCUUCAAUAUCAAGAUGAUGUAAAUUAACCAAAUUUCCGAUACUUGAGGGCAACUUCAAGAGACGCCAGCAAUAACUCAAGAUCAACUAAAUUGAAAAGUGAGGUACCGUAGAUGUUUUAAGCAUCCGAUUGAUAUAGGAACCUCAGCUAUAUUGUCUUUUUCCAAAGAUAACACCCUCAACUUUUUACACUUCGGUAACAGAUCGGACAAAACCAUGGGACUUAUUUAGAAAGAAAUGAAAAAAUCUUCCAUGAAUAUCGGCAAGAAUGUCCUCAAAUUCUCAACUUCAUCGAGAAAUUUAAAUUUAUCUUUCACAGCAAAACGCCUACUGCGGAUGUACGAACAAUGACGAACCUUUCCAAAUACUUUUGACUGUCUAUCCACCGAAAAUUGGUCGUCCAAUCUCAAGCAUGUUUCACCAGAAGCCCAUAGAGCCAAAUCGUGUACAAGGUCAUGCAUCACAUAUUUAGAUCCGCUGUUACUUGAUUUUUGGAACAAGGAUCUUGACAAGAGAUCAUGAAAAUACUCACUGCCCAAAUCUUCUAGUUGUUUACUGUCCUUAGAUUGUUGAAUAAGACCUUCUGCAAUCCAUAAAAGAACCAGUUCCUCAUCUUCGAAUUCAUAAUCCUUCUGCAAAAUUGCACAAUAGGCAAAACAUCUUUUUAAAUGCGAAGGAAGAUGGUGAUAGCUUAACUUCAAAACGGAGGGAAUCUCAGUUUUAUCCUGUAAGUUCCAAAUUUUACUGUCCAAUAUAGCUCUCCACUCAUCAACUCUCUCCUUAGAUCGAAGAAGACCACCAAGAGCCCUAGCUGCCAGAGGUAGACCUUUGCAUUUCUCAACAACCCUUUGACGAGCUGACUCGAAGUUUCCAUGCGUGCUAGCAUCUCUACCCUCAAAUGCAUGAUUUACGAACACCGACGAGCAGUCAUCAUCAGACAGAAGCUUCAGCUCAUAAUUUUUACCAAAUCCCAUUGUUGAGGCGACAUCCAUGCUGCGAGUGGUCACAAUUAUCCUGCUGCCGGGUGCUCCAGCCAUGAAGGGAGACUUUAGAGCUUGCCACAAGUCAUAUCUCUCGCUCCAAACAUCAUCCAAGACAAUCAAAAACUUCUUCUUAAACACAGCUUCCUUCAGCUCAAGCUGCACCGAAUUCAAAUCCUUCAGAUCACAAGAAAAGAGUGUGAUCGACUCCAGAAUAGCCUUGGAGAUCCUGAGAACAUCAAAGUCAUCAGAAACACAAACCCAAGCUUUGGGUUUGAAAUCUUCCGUUAACUUGUCGUUGUACACCUCCUGAGCAAGUGUUGUUUUCCCGAUACCUCCCAUACCCACAAGGGGUAUUACUCGAAAGUUGGCAGCAUCACUCGGAUCAUUCUUUAACACCAUAUCAAGUAUCCCGGCCUUGUCUUCAUUUCUCCCGUAAACAGCAGGUUCACUCGUUAAGCAAGCGGUGGGUGGUCUUCGCCUUACUGUAGCACUAUGCGUUGACCCUCCCGCAAUCUUUCCAAUCCUAGAACAGUUCUCCUCUUACAGAGUUCUUCAAGCCGGCUACUGAUUGCUUUAAUCUUAGACCUUUCUUCAUUACUGAGCUUGCUGGGCUUCUUUUCAGAUCUUGGAUCCCCCAAUGUUUCUUCAAGCCCUUGGUGAACCAACAAUGCUCUCAUCUUGAGCCGCCAUAGGUGAAAUUCAUUCUCUCCAGUAAACUUCUCUACUUGAAACUUAGAAGUUGCAAUUUCUUGGGUCAAAGAUCAGAGUUGUUGGGCUCUGAUACCAAUUUGUUAGAUUUUGAUGGAAAUGAAUCAAUCAAGACUCCCCAAGAUUUAUCUAAACACUUUGAUGCUUGACAAAGAAAUAUUUAAGCAACCACAAAAGAUACACAGAAGAAGCAAGAAACAGCAACCAAAGAAAAAUAGGUUUAAGUGGUUCAGCCUGGAGAUGACUUACAUCCACUGAAGAACAGAGCAACAAUCUUUAUUCAAUCACCAGGAACAAGAUACAAGAUUAUAGAUGAAGUUACAAGAAUCACACGUGCUGAUUUCUUAUCUCUUAAGGCUAUAUAUACACGCUUCAGAGAGCCCAGAAAUCUCCCCCAACAGUCAGCUAUCCUCUGUAACCUAAAACCCAGAUUUUUCCCGCUCUUGUAACAGAACAUAACAACCUCUGAGCCACGUGUUUGCUUCACGUUAAAUGAAGGCUCCAAAACGGCACUCAGCAAAGUCGUAUUGUUAAGUGUAAGCAUGUGAUGGCCACGUGCUUCACUUACUCACAGAUGGAUGAAUAAACAGUUUUGUCAUACGGCUUUGCAUGACCUUAAUCGACCAGUCGUAUUCUGCUCCAAUCACGAACUGACAUGUCGUAUGAAUUUCUGGAAACCAGUUUCAUAGCUCACAUUUUAACAGUUGCCUUCUCGACGGUUUUGAUUAAAAGCCAAACUGAUGGUGUGUUUUAAAGGAAAUCCAGGCCUUACAGCAAAUGAGGCGAUUUCUCCAGAUCAUGCUGGUAAAUUCUUUUGGGUUAAUUUCGCAAUCUUUAGACCUUCAAUACAGUUAAUUAUGUGGAAAUUAUGGAAGUGGUUGAUUUAAUCUCCAAAGCAGCUUUUGAUCAAGGACUGAUGAAUCUUUGGCUCCUAGCUAGUUUGUCAAUGAACCUUAGAUUUUCUCAAGCUUUAGAAAAACUAAUGUUGUAGAGUAAGCAAUCUCCAAAGCAACAUUUAUUUGCUCAAUGUUGGUCUUCCAUGUGCUAAUGUUUGUUUAAGGAAAUGGGACAUAAACGAUCACGAGACUAAGUUCAGUUCAAUUUAUUUACCAGUUCAACUUCAAUAAACGAGUACUGAUAUUAUAUGAAAUUUGUAAUUUGGAACUUCUUUCCCCCUCCCUCUCUUAAAUGCUUAAUUGUUGUGUCACAUUCUGUAAAAUGUAAUUACUUUUAAAGCUUUUGAGUUCACAUAUCCUUGAUUCCUCGAGUUACUUUGUUAACAAGGAUUUCACGAACCUUUUUUUUUUUUUGGGACAAAAUGCACAGAACCACAAUCUCAAAGCAUCAAAAGAAAAUUACUCUACAACAGUGAUGGUACAAAGUACAAACAAUUAAUUAAAAUAGCUCGAGCAUCAGGGUGCUCUUCUCAUUAACUGGAAUCAGUGCAAAUCAGCAAACGAAUCUGUAAUAGCAUUAGUUUCAUACAUCUACUAAGGCUUGAGAAAUCUGAAGUUCAUUGAAGAAAUCUUGGUGCAAAAGUUCAACAAUCUACUCGAAGGAUGUCAAUUAGCAGGGAGUCUCAUCGAUGCCGAUGAUCCAAUCACCCCCAUUAUUCCUGUAUAACAAACUGUAUUGUGGACUAAAGACUGCCAAAAUCCACACAAAGAAAUUUAUCAAUAUGAUCUUGGAAAAGUGCCUUACGUGCUGCAAGAGCAAGACCAGGAUUUCCUUUCAAAUUAGCACUAAUCGAAUCCACAGGGGAGACCGUCACAAACCAUGCCUCAACAGCUGAUAUAAAUCCCAUCAAACUAGAUUUCAAGCUUAUAGGAUUGCCUGGUGAUAAAACUGCCGUGGCCACAGAAACCAAACUAAAAGCUAAUCACUUCGUAAGGAUGUUGUUGGAAAGAAGCACAUGAUGACCAGCACACUUUGCAUCAUUGAGUAUUCCAACUCUUGGAAUCUCUGUUUUAUUUAACGAUCCUGAGAUUCAUCCAAACCAUAGAGAAAAACAGAUUAAAUGGAUAUUGUAUCCAAGAAAGAAGAAAAACGAUGCUGGAAAAAUAGAACGCAAGUCAGGUUUAUAUUAGGAAACAAGGUUAAUCACUCACCACAAGCUUGAGCAAAUACGCAAGUGACCACUGCUUUGGCAGAUAAUUCUUGUUCAAUAAGGACAUGCAGAUUAUACAGAUGCUCUUUGCAUGGUUGAUUGGUGAUUACAGUUUAAUUGUCAGCUCCAGAUAUCUUUCGGUAUCUUCCAUCUCUAUAAGAAUGAACAGAAAGUUUUUUCUGUUAUUAUCAAAUUCUCAACCCUUCAUACCGCCAGCGGCUCUGACUAGAAAGCGAACAGCAGUCCCUUAUGGCUUCUCUUGCAUGAGACUCAUAACUCUUGGACCUAAGAGGCAUCUGUGAAACUUUUACUACAGAAUUAAAUUACAAUAAAAUGCUUGGGAUACCAAAAAUGUUCAAGCAUCGGAAGGCAAAUUAUAUUUUUAUCUUUAAAGAAAAAUACAUUUUUUAUAGUAUAUUAAAAAUAAAGAAGAAUAAAACAAAAUCUAUGAGAACGUAAUAAUCCCUGCACCUUAACAACUGGUAAAACCAGAGCCAAAAAAAAAAAAGAAAAAAAAAAAAGCUCAUAAACCACACAUCAAAAUAACCAAUAAGGGGGAAUUCAUUAUGAAUCAAUAAAAGCAAAGCAAUAAUCUCAAUGGGCUGCGAAUCUCAAUAGUAAUUGUAAAUCUGAUUAUUGAUUAUUCCAAUCGAGGUUAACCAAAAUAACAGCGGUCCUAUUACCUUCUUUGAAAGUAUUAGAAAUCAGUGACUAAAUUCCUUCCUUAGCGAUGCUGACACCUGCAUGAGCACCUGGAUGAAAAAGAAAAUGAUCAGAUGACAAUCAAAGAGCGAUAUAGAUCCAGGACAUAACAAGAACCUGAUAACAUAGUUGUGAAGAUAGCUCAUUGUGCAGAAAUGAAGAAGAAGAAUCAGCAUGUCAAGUUACCAGCUGUCAUCAGUGCCACGUCAGAAGAUUCACGUCAGCAGCAGUUACUAGUCUAACUAACUUCACAAUGCAUGCUCUGUGUUUUGGUUAUUGAUUAGCUGAGUGAGCUUGUGAUUAAUAAUUAGUUAGUAAGCAAUUAGUUAGUUAAUGUAGCAUGUAUAAAUAGCUGCAUGUUUCGAGAUUGAUGUAUGUACAAAGUAUCAGUUCAUUAAUGAAAUAAGAAUUUUUCCUUUGUAUUUUCUUGGCUGCCAAACAGCAGUAUUUAUUCAGUUUUACAAUUUCUUCAUGGUAUUAGAGCCAAUCAUGGCAAUCACAAACAAUCACAAUACAGUAGCUACGAAUCAAACAACUUUUUCUUUCAUCACACCAAUCAAAUUAGAUAGAUCUAAUUACAUGCUUUGGAAAAAUCAAGUCCUGGCCUCCAUCAGAGGAAAUCGACUUGAAGGAUACAUUAAUGGAGAAAAGAUUGCACCAAAUCGAUUCAUAGCAUCAUCAAGCUUUGCUGAAACAGCUGCUGGAUCUUCUCAACAGAUCGAGAAUCUUGAGUACACAAUUUGGAGAUCUCAAGAUCAAACAUUACUCAGCUGGCUUCUUAGCUCAAUAACUGAAGGUAUUCUCAGUUUAGUUCACACUUGUAUCACUUCAUUCGAUGUAUGGAAAACACUAGAGAAAAGGUUUGGUGUACAAUCUGAGGCUAGAGUUCUUCAACUUAAGUAUGAGAUGAGUGUCUUAAGAAAAGAAUCACUAAGCAUGGAAGAAUAUUGCUUAAAAAUGAAACAAGUUACAGACAAAUUAGCAUGUGCUGGCAGUCCUGUAUCAAAUAGAGAUAUGUUGCAGCAAAUUCUCAAUGGUCUAGGAGCUGGCUAUUUGGAUUUAGCUACUUUUAUCACAGCAAGCAAAUUGGACUAUGAUGAUGCUUAUGCUUUAUUACUCACUCAUGAAGCUAGACUUGAACAAAGUCAAAGUGAAAAACACAUGUUUAAUGCAAACUAUGCUAAUAUGUCUAACUGGAAUAAUAAUAGUAUGAUGAAUGCAUACUAUGCUCAAAUAAGAGGUCAAGCUAGGAGAAGAGGAUAUACAGGAGGUGUCCAGGGCAAUUAUAAUGGUCAUUCAGGUGGUAGAAAUGGCAUGUUUAAUGGUAGAGGAAUGUUUUUGAACUCUCAUCCAAGGGGUUUUCCUGCUGGAACUGGCCAUUUUGGUAAUCAUGGAAGAAAUCAAAUGAUGAUGAUGGGAAGUAAUAGAUUUGGUUCUUUUGGAAGAGGCUCUUUUGGUAGUACUGGUUUCAUUGGUACUGGAAAUUCACCUUCUUUUGAGUCACAAACAUCCAACAAUGAUGAUUCCAUGAAUACAUGUCAGAUUUGCUUCAAAGCAGGACAUACAGCUGUUGAAUGCUGGCACAGAUUUGAAGAAAAUUACGUACCUCAACCACCAAGACAGUUUCAAAGAGGAAAAGGUUCAAAGUCUGCUUACAUGGCUAGUUAUGAACCUGCAUACAUACCUUACCAUCCAACAAAUGAUGAUCCAUGGCCUGUCAACAAUAAUGGAUUACACAUGUCACAUUCUGGAUAUUCUUGUGUAUCUGACAAUCCUGGUAUACCCUGGGCUGGAACUGCUUCUGCUGCAUAUUGUGAAGGACCUGCAGAUGAAGGUUGGUACCUGGACAGUGGUGCCACUCAUCAUCUGACCAACAGCAUGGGAAAUCUGAAUAUCAGAGAUGAGUUUAGAGGUAAUGAUAAGCUCAUUAUUGGUAAUGGUGAAGGUUUGUCAAUUACUCAUAUUGGGUAAGAUACACAAAUUGCACUUUCCAGUUACAGAAAUCAAAACCAAAUCAGCACUUGAGCUUAUACACACUGAUCUUUGGGGUCCCUCACCAGUUAUUUCCAGAGAAGGUUUUAGAUAUUAUAUUAGCUUUGUUGAUGGUUUCACUAGAUAUACUUGGAUUUACCCUUUGAAGUUGAAAUUAGAAGCUUUAGAAGUCUUUAAGCUAUACAAGUUACAAGUUGAAAACCAGUUCCAAACAACCAUUAAGAUACUGCAAUCUGACUGGGGGGGAGAAUAUAGAUCAUUCACUGAAUUUUUAAACCAGUGUGGCAUUUUAUUUAGGCACUCUUGUCCAUAUACUCAUCAUCAGAAUGGCUUAGUUGAGAGAAAACACAGACAAGUGGUAGAAUUGGGUCUUACAUUGUUAGCACAAGCCAAACUUCCUUUGCAUUUUUGGUGGGAUUCUUUCCAUGCUUCAGUUUAUCAUAUCAAUAGGUUACCAACUUCAGCUCUUAAAAUGUUGACACCAUAUGAAAAACUUUUCAAACAUAAAGCUGAUUAUAAGAUGCUGAAAUGUUUUGGUUGUGCUUGCUAUCUAUAUUUGAGAGAUUACAAUAAGCAUAAGUUUGAUUACCACACAAGUAAAUGCAUAUUCAUUGGUUAUAGCCCUGCUCACAAAGGAUAUAAAUACCUACAUCAUUCUGGUCGUAUAUACGUAGCAAGGCAUGUCAUAUUUGAUGAAAAUGCCUUUCCUUUCUCUUCAGAUACUGUUUUCAGUUCUGAAAACAAAACACAAUCAGUAUCCAGCUCAACAUUGUCCCCUCAUCGAGUUUUCCAUUUAUCCAAUCUUCCUGUUGUGUCAAAUCCUUGUAACAGCAGUUUUGAAUCCUGCUCUCCAGCAUGUUCCAACAGCACAGAACUGUUUCCAUCAGCAAAUCACCAACAAACAAAUGAGGCUACACAAUUUCAAACACCAAAUCUUAAUCCUGCUCUUGAACCUAUUCAUAAUCUAAACUCAUCAAACACUUCAGAUCCUACUUCAAUUCCAUUACCAUCUCCAUCUCAAAUAACCUCAAACACUAUUCAACCUGUUCAGAACAAUCACCCCAUGACCACAAGAGGAAAAGCAGGAAUUUUUAAACCAAAGGUGUAUACUGCAGUGUUAGUUCACAAAGAGCCAGAUUCAGUUGAUGAAGCUUUGCAAGAUACAAAUUGGUUUACAGCUAUGAAAAAUGAGUAUGAUGCACUAAUUGAAAACAAAACUUGGUCUUUAGUACCAAGAACAGAAAAUCAUAAGGUUGUUGGGAAUAAGUGGGUGUAUAGGAUAAAAUAUAAUACUGAUGGCGGUGUAGCUAAGUAUAAGGCUCGAUUGGUGGCAAAAGGGUUUCAACUGAUUGAGGGUGUGAAUUAUUUUGAUACAUUUAGUCCAGUGGUAAAGCCAGCAACAGUUAGAGUAGUUCUUAGUCUUGCAGUGAUGAAUCAGUGGGUAGUUAGACAGGUGGAUGUAAACAAUGCAUUCUUGAAUGGUGAAUUAUCAGAAGAAGUGUUUAUGCAUCAACCUGAAGACUUUGUUGAUGAGAGCAAAUCUAACUAUGUUUGCAGAUUACACAAAGCUUUAUAUGGUCUUAAGCAAGCUCCUAGAGCUUGGUUUGAAAAGCUCAGAGGAUGUCUUCUGCAAUGGGGUUUCAGAAAUUCCAAAUCUGAUUCUUCUUUAUUCUUAAGAAAAACUAAAAUGUCACUCUUUAUGGUAUUGAUAUAUGUUGAUGACAUAUUAGUUACUAGACCUAAUAGUGAGGAAUUAGACAGCUUCAUUCAACAGUUUAAUACUGUUUUUGCAUUGAAAGACUUAGGAAGAUUGUCCUAUUUCCUGGGUAUAGAAGUGUUGUGUUGUAUGGUCAGAAUUGCAUUUAUUUGUCUCAGAAGAAGUAUAUCAGAGAUUUGCUUGCUAAGGUAGACAUGCUUGAGUGUAAAGGAGUGACAACACCAAUGUGCAGUGGCAAAGACUCAAAGUUGCAGAAGAUAGUUAAAGGAGAAUUGGGUUACUAUGUUGAAGAUGCUACUCAUUAUAGAAGCAUUGUAGGUGGUCUCCAAUAUCUGAUCUUGACAAGACCAGAAAUUGCUUAUUAUGUUCAUAAGCUGAGCCAAUAUGUAUCUGCACCAACUAUGCAACAUCUCAUGGCUUGCAAAAGGGUUCUUAAAUAUCUAAAGGAGACACAGGAUUAUGGCUUAAAGUUUAUUAAGGAUGGUGAUUUGAAAAUUACUGCAUUAACUGAUGCAGAUUGGGGAAGUGACUUGGAUGAUAGGAAAUCAAUUGGAGCUUACUGUGUGUAUCUUGGAAAUAAUCUGAUUUCAUGGUCUUCGAAGAAGCAAACAGUAGUCACUAAGUCUUCAGCUGAGAGUGAAUAUAGGGCACUUGCUUCAGCUGCUUCAGAGAUAGCUUGGUUAAAAUCAUUGUUUCUGGAAAUGGAAGUAUGCUGUGCAGAGAGACAAACAAUAUGGUGUGACAAUAUAAGUGCAACAGAACUAGCAAAGAAUCCUGUGUUCCAUUCAAGAACCAAACACAUUGAGAUUGAUGUUCAUUUUAUUCGAGAUAAAGUGUUAGCUGGUGAUCUCAAAAUUUGUUAUGUGCCAAGUGAAGAUCAGAUUGCAGAUAUCUUAACCAAGCCCUUAUCUUCUCCUCAGUUCAACUACUUAAGGGACAAACUCAAUGUCUUUACAUGUCCCUUGAGUUUGAGGGGGGCUGUGAAGAUAGCUCAUUGUGCAAAAAUGAAGAAGAAGAAUCAGCAUGUCAAGUUACCAGCUGUCAUCAGUGCCACGUCAGAAGAUUCACGUUAGCAGCAGUUACUAGUCUAACUAACUUCACAAUGCAUGCUCUGUGUUUUGGUUAUUGAUUAGCUGAGUGAGCUUGUGAUUAAUAAUUAGUUAGUAAGCGAUUAGUUAGUUAAUGUAGCAUGUAUAAAUAGCUGCACGUUUCGAGAUUGAUGUAUGUACAAAGUAUCAGUUCAUUAAUGAAAUAAGAAUUUUUCCUCUGUAUUUUCUUGGCUGCCAAACAGCAGCAUUUAUUCAGUUUUACAAUUUCUUCAAUAGUCCAGAACACAAAUUGAAUUAUUUUUCAACUUUCUUGAAAGUAAAAUGUUAUCAAUCUUUUAAUACCAAGGGUAACAUGAAAUUUACAGUAUACUUUGUCUUCACUCUGGAGUUUGGAUUGGCAGAGAGGUAGAUGACAUUGCAACAAGAUCCUGCGAGCUUUCCAACUUUCAGCCGCAACUUCAGUCCCUUCACCAGAUUGUCCGCCGCAAUCCUCCAAGAAUCACCUUUCAUUAACUUCAGAAUGUAUGGAAGGGCAAGAACUUCAUUUGUACAUUAGGAUACUCUGAAAAUCCAGCCUCAUUAAUACGACAAGAUGAGCUGACUUGUGAUCUUAAGCCGGUUUGUGCAGAUUACCGCUGCAUUCAACCGAAAAUUUGUCUCAUUGAAUGGCUGAUUGGUGGUUAAAUUUAAUUAGCAGCUGCAGACAUGUAGAAAGUAUCAGUUAUUGGCAUCCUCUGUCUCUACAAGAAAGAAAAAAAAGAAGUUAUUCUUGGUCUUAUCAAAUUCAGUAACAUUUACAGUUGAAAAAACUCAAACAAAAGAGCCAUUGCUGGAUCCUUUAUUAAAUAUACCUGUCAUUUUCACUACAGCAUUAAACUACAAUAAGAUGCUGUGAGACCAAAAUUGUAAAAGAAAUGGAAGAAAAAUUCUGUUUUCCUUUUUAAAAGAAAAUACCUUUCAAUAGCCUUUAAUAAGAAAAAAGAAGAAUGGAAAAAAAUAGUAGUAAACUAAUGAGGCUUACGUUUUAACAACUGAUAGACAAAGCCAGAAAACCAGAGCUAAAACUUAAAAAGAAAACCAAGCUGACUCAAGUUCAUAAACCAUACAUCUAAACAACCAAUAAUAAGUCAGUCGUUAUCGAUCAAAUAAAAAUCAAGACACUAAUUCUCUGGAUCAAUGUUGCAAGUCUAAAUUCUGCAACGUGCAAUCGAAGGUUAGCCAAAACAUGAGCAGCACUAUUACCUUCUUGGAAAGUAUGACAAAUCAGAAACUGAAUUUAUUCCUUGGCGAAUCCGACACCACCAUGAGCCGCCUGAUGGCAACACCUCUUGAAGACUCAUAUGGCGGAUCAAGAUAGCAAAAAGCAGAUAACUGAGAUCUGAACACGUAAACUGAAAGUUAUUUUUCAAAAAUCUUACAAGUUAAAAUGUUACAUCUCGUAAGUUACUAAUCAUUUAAUCUUUUGGGUAUCAUUUAAUCUAGGACUUACAGAGAGGUAAGAUGGUAUUGCAGCAAGAUCCUGUGAUAGCUCUGCUGCAACAGAAGUGCCUUCAACAGAUUAUCCAACCACCACCCUCAACGUAUCACCUUCCAUUAAAAUCGGCAAAUAUUGAAGAGCAAGAAUUUCAUUUUUACAUUGAGAUAAUUGCCAAAUGAAUAUACAGCUUGAUUGUCUUCUUGAUAGUCAUAUCAGUCGACCUACCUUGUGAUGAAAGCCAGUUUUGUACUAAUUAAUGAUGCAUUCAGCCAAAAAUCUGCACAUCAACAUUCCAGUAAUUACUGCUAAAAUAGAGGAUAACUGAAAAUGAAACCGAUUUUCAGAAAAUAUUUAAACGAAUUCAUAACAGUAAUCUGAAUUUCAGGGGAUAGAAGCUGACAGACCUGGCAUAGAACACAAGAUUGGAGAGAGCAUUUUCUGGUUCUAUGCUCUUCUUUUCUUUUGAAGAUCAAAAUAGACCUCAUUCUUCCUCUUGUGGACCGUCAAAAUAGACCUUAUGCUUCCUCUCUUGAUUUAUCAGAGUCAAAGGAAUGUGGGCUAUCUUUGGCCACUCUUGUCCUUUUCGCAUUUUGCAUUUUUCCAAUAAAGGACAACGUUGAAUUUCUAGAGACAAAAGAGAGGAUGGAAAGCCCGCCUCUGGGAAUGAAGUGAAAUUUGGGCAAGAGAAGACUCUUAAAUGCUCAAGAGAUACGAGGUACUGAAAACCCUUGGAAGAUAGGCGUUUCAAUUUUGGGAAAUCUGAAAUUGUAAUAGAGGUCAAAGAGGUGGGCAAUAUCACUCCCUUCCCUACAUCAGGAAAAGACACAGCAUCUGAGCAUCCAUCAAUGUAGAGUUUCCUAAGAGAGGUCAGCUUGUGAAAGCCCCACUUGACUAGUGGCUUAUACAUAUUGUCACCUGAAAUUUCAAGGUCCGUUAGGUUGGUGGAUAAACCCUCUUCUGGAAAGACCACAAUGCCUGGACAUUCACUUAGGGCUAAUUCUCGAAGAGAGCUAAGUGUGCCAGUUGGUAUUAGGGCUUUAAGUUUAUCACAGUCUUCGAUUAAAACGUCUACGACAUUGCUGGGAAGCGUAUCUUCUGGGAGAGACACAAGAUUAUGACAACGUACGAUACGUAUCUCAUGAAGAUGGCUAAGAUUGCUCAACCCUUUUGGUAACGAUUUAAGAUUCUCACAACUCGAUAUCCAAAUAGAUCUGAGACAUGCAUCAUCAUGGAAUCUCUCCGCGAUAGACUCCAGAUUUGAACAACCAUCAAUUGUCAGCUCUUCGACCUCCACUGGUAAUUGGCAUUCUGAUGUCAGCACCUUGAAAUUUGAACAAUCCUCAAUUCGAAGGCGUUUGAGUGUGACGGGUAGCCGGCCUCCAGACCAUAAGCAAGUGAGCGAUGGGCACCGGUAGACGAAUAAGCUCUCAAGAUCAAGAUAUGUGCUGCUGCUGCUGUUGAUGUUUUUCUCCGUCACCGAAGAAGAAGUACAACUCUUUUCUCUAUCAUCCAGCACACACUGCAGCGUCUCACAAUCUCGUAUUUCAAUUGCCUGCAGAGAUGAAGGUAGAUGCUCUCUUGAAAUGGAUGUUAACGAAUCACAACGUUUGAUGCGCAAGACUUCAAGUCGUGCAUUGUUGUAUAUCAUUCCAUCAGUUAAUGAUGCCAGAGCGUUGCAAUCUUGGAUGGUAAUUUCACUCAAAUUGGGAAGAAAGCAGGCCUUUGGAAGCGAAACAACAGUUGGACAAUUCCCGAUAAGCAGGUCUUUUAGGCAGGUGAGUCUUUGCAGCCCUUGUAGCGGCUUCUCCAGACAAAUCUCAUUUACAAACCCUUCACAACCGACAAUCAUCAGUUGUUCUACUUUCUGAAACUUUUCACUCGACCAAUUUUCGAACUCUGAAAUAUUGCAGAGAGUCAUUUUGUUCGGUGACUUGGACUCAGAUGGACCAUCGCACACCAACCUUUUGCAUCCAUCAAUUUCCAUUGUGCAGAGAGCUGGAAGGCUUGGUAAUGAUACCGCCAAGUGCAUGCAUCCAGCAAUCACAAUUUCCUCCAAAGAAGGAAGAUGGUUAGGUAAUCGUCCAGAGAGCUUGGGGCAUUUUUUAAUGGAAAGCUUUCGGAGACGAGGGAAUGCCUGAACAUGCUCAUCAUUGUCUCUGUUAGGUUCCCAGUGCUCCCAUUCCUGCAAAUCCUCAAAAUAUAAAGUCUGCAAUGAUUGAAAAGGUUUUGAGCAACCUUCCCCAUAAAUCUCCGAACCUAUGCUUUUUAAUUCCGACAUGCCUACGAUGGUGAGAUCUUUUAGUGAGCACAAUUG